rnacentral:rRNA from 1 species
CCAAUAGCGUAUAUUAAAGUUGUUGCAGUUAAAAAGCUCGUAGUUGAAUUUCGGGAUUAGUACGUUGGUCGUGCCUUAGGUACGUACUGGUGUUACUGGUUCCUACCUUCUGACGAACCAUCAUGUCAUUAAUUUGGUGUGGCGGGGAAUCAGGACUGUUACUUUGAAAAAAUUAGAGUGUUUAAAGCAGGCUCGCGCUUGAAUACAUUAGCAUGGAAUAAUGAAAUAGGACGUUGACCCUAUUUUGUUGGUUUCUAGGAUUGACGUAAUGAUUAAUAGGGAUGGUUGGGGGCAUUAGUAUUCAAUUGUCAGAGGUGAAAUUCUUGGAUUUAUUGAAGACUAACUACUGCGAAAGCAUUUGCCAAGGAUGUUUUCAUUAAUCAAGAACGAAAGUUAGGGGAUCGAAGACGAUCAGAUACCGUCGUAGUCUUAACCAUAAACUAUGCCGACUAGGGAUCGGAUGAUGUUAAUUUUUUAAUGACUCAUUCGGCGCCUUACG